rnacentral:rRNA from 1 species
AAGUUUGAUGGCGACCGGCGCACGGGUGAGUAACACGUAUCCAACCUGCCGAUGACUCGGGGAUAGCCUUUCGAAAGAAAGAUUAAUACCCGAUGGCAUAGUUCUUCCGCAUGGUGGAACUAUUAAAGAAUUUCGGUCAUCGAUGGGGAUGCGUUCCAUUAGGUUGUUGGCGGGGUAACGGCCCACCAAGCCUUCGAGGGAUAGGGGUUCUGAGAGGAAGGUCCCCCACAUUGGAACUGAGACACGGUCCAAACUCCUACGGGAGGCAGCAUG